rnacentral:rRNA from 1 species
UACGUAGGGUGCGAGCGUUAAUCGGAAUUACUGGGCGUAAAGCGUGCGCAGGCGGUUUUGUAAGCCAGAUGUGAAAGCCCCGGGCUUAACCUGGGAAUGGCAUUUGGGACUGCAAGGCUUGGAGUGCGGCAGAGGAGACGUGGAAUUCCUGGUGUAGCAGUGAAAUGCGUAGAUAUCAGGAGGAAUACCGAUGGACGGAAGGCCAG